UGCCCAGCAACUCCUAUCCCUACCUUCUCACGAUACUGGCCGGGAUACGAGCAACCUUAAGGAAGAUCGGGUUACCAAUUCCGGUGGUAACUUUGGCGUAUGCUGACAGGGAAGG
rnacentral:ribozyme from 1 species